GGAAAUCGCCCGAUUUUUUUCUCCAAUGGAUUUCUCCCUCAUCCGGCGAGCUUUUGAGGUGAAACAAAGCCCAGAACAGUUCGCCACUUCCCCACGAACAGCCUGGUGCCCUCUUUUCCUCCCCUCACGGCGGCUACGCGGCGGUGGAGCUUGAAACCGAUUUUAGCUCAAUUUUGAGUCAACGCCGAUAUCUCGAACGAUCAAUCUUCGCGAUUCUUGGACAGAUGAACUCGGAUUGAAGUUAUGAAACAGUUUCAUGAAGCAAUCGAAGCGAGUGGUGGACGUUUUCACGUUGAUCGGAGCUGUUGUCGGUUUCUGGAAAAAAUCCGGCGAAUCCGUGGCUUCUAGGUGAUUGACGGUCUUCCUUGGUGAGCGAUUUUGGUGUGUAUUGUGAAAGUGAAGACGCAGCGGGAUUAGAGCGGGUAGUCCUGCAGGUCAGGAGGAUCAUGGCGGAGAUCGUGCGGAUUAGAGUAUUUGUUUUAGUUUUACAGCCUUGUAAAUUGUGAGGUGAGUGAUGCUCAAUUUGAGCUUUACAAAUUUACUUUGUACAAGUGAGUUGUAUUAAUUA
rnacentral:lncRNA from 1 species